CGGCGUGCUUAACACAUGCAAGUCGAACGAUGAACCACUUCGGUGGGGAUUAGUGGCGAACGGGUGAGUAACACGUGGGCAAUCUGCCCUUCACUCUGGGACAAGCCCUGGAAACGGGGUCUAAUACCGGAUACUGACCCUUGCAGGCAUCUGCGAGGUUCGAAAGCUCCGGCGGUGAAGGAUGAACCCGCGGCCUAUCAGCUUGUUGGUGAGGUAAUGGCUCACCAAGGG
rnacentral:rRNA from 1 species